GCGGACGUGGUGAAAUUGGCAGACACGUUAGAUUUAGGUUCUAAUAAGUAUAUCUUGUGAGAGUUCGAGUCUCUCCGUCCGCA
rnacentral:tRNA from 1 species